rnacentral:rRNA from 1 species
UGCCAGCAGCCGCGGUAAUACGAAGGGACCUAGCGUAGUUCGGAAUUACUGGGCGUAAAGCGUACGUAGGCGGAUUAAUAAGUUAGAGGUGAAAUCCCAGGGCUCAACCCUGGAACUGCCUUUAAAACUGUUAGUCUUGAGAUCGAGAGAGGUGAGUGGAAUUCCAAGUGUAGAGGUGAAAUUCGUAGAUAUUUGGAGGGACACCAGUGGCGAAGGCAGUUCACUGGACCGUGAUCGACGCUGAGGAGCGAAAGCUAGGGGAGCAAACAGGAUUAGAUA